rnacentral:lncRNA from 1 species
GAGUUUAAAGCCUAAACAGGCAAAGAGCCGGAGGAGCAGCUGCCCGAGCUGAUGUAGACAGCCUGGCAGGUCAAUGGGCCAGCUGCUCACAAAGCUUGCUGCCUGACCUCCCCCUCCAGAUCCACAACCCAUCGAUCAUUAGGAUGGCUAGAGUAGGUCCUCUGUAAAACAAAACGGGGUACUUGGGCACCCAGCUCUAUGUGUACAACACACAAUUGCCUGCUUUAGUGCUGCAUAUGCCCAGAAACAUAAUUUCUGCUGUCAUCCUGCAGGGACACGUCUGUGUGACUAAACACAGCCUCCACUAAACAGAAUGGAUGGAGGAGGUUAAAGCGUGUGUGCCUGUCUGCGGAGGGAGAACACGACUUUCUCAAGACCAUCUGGGUUUUGCUUUCUUUUGAUAGAGAUGGAUUUGACUCACCUCUUAGAGCAGGAUGCUGUUGCAAACUCAGUGUGUUCAGAAAGCCUGGGAAAAUGCUGCAGCCCAAGUCUCUCUGACUAUUGUUUCCCAGUGCCUUGCUCUGGAGGAUAACAGGCCGAGUUGCCCGUUAUCUGUGACUGUCUGUAGCAGGACAUUGUUUCUUUUGUCACUGACACUGCCGAUUAGUCACGGACAAGUCUCCCUGUCUCACACACACAUACUUGGACACAGCCUUUCAGCCCACGAGCAAAUAGGGUUUCAAUAAUCCUGGCUUGCCGCUGCUUUGGGGGAACGAGUGGAAGCACAGAGCAAUACGCAUUGAAAGCUUGCCACCUUCUGGACAUUGCACAGCACUGUGUCUUUCAUAAAAAAAAAAAAAGUAAUUUUACAAGGGGGGGCUCCAGGUAGCAAUUGGAAGCAGAUAAGCAAGUGCCAUUGUGUGUGAACCGACUUUAGGGAUGAAAAUGGAAAAAGAUGGAUGGAGAAGGAAUGUGAGUUGCACAGUGCAGCACACUAACCCAUCCUCACAAAGGAGCUAUAAACGUGGAUAUUAUUCCAAAAUGGGCUCAGGGUUGCAUGAGGAGCUAUACGUAAACUUGAAAGCUUCAGAAAGCUUUUCAGCUCUUAUUGAGGAAGACAACUGCAACAGAAAGGGAUCAACAGACCAAAGAGAUGGCUGUAUUUUUGCCAGGAAUAUUCCUUUUACUUGCUUGCUGAACUGUGUUGGAGCUGGAAAUUGCAAAAGCCCAUACAUGCUGAGUCCAGCAUCUCUCCAAAAUAUCGGUAACUAGACAUUUAUAUAAAAAGCAGAUAGAGGCAAUCUAUAAUAGCAUCUGUAAUGUAUUAUGAUUUUAUUCUGCUGAACAUUACAAGCCACUGACUUCUUUUCUGUUACAUGGCCCUAUUAUGCCUGACACUCAGUUCAACCCACUCACAUUAAUUCAGUUCCCUCUCUGUCACCCUCCCAGCCUGGUGCACUGGCAGCAAUUGCUUUAGAUGUUUGCAUUCAGAUUAUAGCAGAGAUGGUGUAUUUGUCGUCCAGAGCACAAGGUCAGAAGGAUAUUUCACCCCUCUCCCCCUUGCAGUGCUGCUGCUUGGCUCUUGACUUUGUACACAGGAGAGCCACAUCGUGGCGCAUGCUGUGCAAACAAACACCAACCACGUGUUUGUCUUUGAGAAGCAGAAGACGGCUUUUAUGCGAACAGGCCUGCUGUGGAUCCUCAGGGAGCAGGAGCCCUGCAUCACCUUCAGGAUGCAGGGAAAGGCUUUGACCUCUUUCUGCUGCCUUCAGGUGCUGCCUGAAGCUCAUUUCAUACUUUCCUCCUGCUUUUGCCCACGUGAGGACAUGUCAGUGUGGGCCAAAUGGCACACUGCAUAAACCCCUACUGCUGCCUCCAUAGUGGGAACCUGAUUUCCCACCACUUCCAGGACAGCUCAGCAUUAACAGAGAUUUUCCAUUAGCUUCAGAGGCAAAUGCUGUCAUAGCAGAGAUGAUGAUUGUAACAGGCAUGCAAAUGAGUAAAGUCAUUUCAUCCAAAUUGACAUCAUCUUAAUUACAGCAGCGUGAUCAACCUUUUCGACUGUACAGAUUGCCUAUCAAAAACAGAGCAGACAGCUUGAGGGCACAUCGGGCAGAGCUUGGAGAGCUGUGAGGAGAGGGAACUCCAAGGACAAUCUGGAGGACUGAGGUGGUGUCAGCUUCCAAAAACUGAGUCCCCAGGCAAGGUGGCAAUUUGAGCAUCCCCCUCCUUGCUGGGCUUUCACAUUAGCCAGCUGGCAAUACACUGGAAGAUUCCGAGAGCAACUGGAGUAAAGAUGUGUGUGUGAUCUGGUUACAGCUCACCUGAGACUCACAAGACAACCUGAAUUAGGGAGAAGUAAGCGGCUGCUGUUGCUGUACACUGGGUUACACCAGGUCUAGGUUGCUUUUCUUUUUUGGAGGAAUCAGGAAUUGUCUCCAAGUUCUGUUCUCAGUCUCUGACUGUCAUCACAAAAUUGUUGCCUGGCUAAUAGCACAAGGACGGUUUCUGUUAGCACUCAUCCUUUAGUGGGGUGUGAAAGGUAGGAUGCAACCCCAGGCAAAAGUCUGCCAGCUUGUGGGUUUUAUCUCACAAAACAAGCUUCAGCCUCAGGACACAAUGCAUAUCAGUGCAGCCAUGUAACUCCUGGAGCAACCUCACUCCUUUUACUAAUAACUUUGCUGUCUGCAGUAGCUUUGCACUAGGGUGUCCCUUUGCUGUGUCAGACUACCACAAGCCUGAGGUUCACACCUAGUACUAUCAGGGCUACUCUUGAAACACUAUACCCAGUGGCGUUGCUGUCACUGCUUCCAAAACUCCAUCACAGAGAUGGUGCCAAGGCAAAAGAACCUCCUUGCACUGCAAUAUUGCACUGAUGCCUGCAGCAAAACCACCUCUGUCAGCCAGUGUCAGUGUCCCAGGAGGGACAUGUGAGCCAGUAGCAGACCAUGGCAGAGCAACCUCGCAAUCUGCAGAUCUCCUUUACUCCCUGAAUGCGCCCCAACUGAGUCGCAGUAAGAGAAGAGAUCGUCUGACUGGGUGCUGUGAGCACAGUGAUGUCCUGGCAUGUUCAAAGCAUCGCACUGCAGACAUUAAACACAACAUAAUGGAAGAUUUCUUGUAAUUUUCCACUAGCUGCAGAGGAGACUUUAGUCUAAA